CUCGAGUUUAAAAAGUAUGUAAUGAUGACUUGAGUGCAUUUGGCUCGAGAUGCAGGUCGAAAGAUCUGUGUCGCUGUGGAAAAACACACGCUACCUUAUUUUUUUUUGUCUGACA
rnacentral:snoRNA from 1 species